rnacentral:rRNA from 1 species
ACUCCUACGGGAGGCAGCAGUGGGGAAUAUUGCACAAUGGGCGCAAGCCUGAUGCAGCCAUGCCGCGUGUAUGAAGAAGGCCUUCGGGUUGUAAAGUACUUUCAGUUGUGAGGAAGGAUGGUGGUCGUUAAUAGCGCAUCAUUUGACGUUAGCAACAGAAGAAGCACCGGCUAACUCCGUGCCAGCAGCCGCGGUAAUACGGAGGGUGCGAGCGUUAAUCGGAAUUACUGGGCGUAAAGCGCAUGCAGGUGGUUUGUUAAGUCAGAUGUG